UGUGGGCUUUUUGGCCAAAGUGGGUUAUAGUUUUUUAAUAAAGAAAGAUUUUUGUGAUAUCAUAACGAAUGGUGUUAUAGUUAUGCAUGGAGAAUUAAAACAUGACAUUUAUAUUUUAUCACAAUCUGGUAGUGUAAUGUAUACAUCGAACAAAUAUUCUAGAAUAGAUAAUAUCACAGAUGCCUAUCUUUGGCAUUGUAAACUCGAUCAUAUA
rnacentral:lncRNA from 1 species